UUUAAAGUGUUUACUGGGUUGGAAGCUAAGCAGGGUCGGGCCUGGUUAGUACUUGGAUGGGAGACCACUUAGGAAUACCAGGUCAUGUAGGCA
rnacentral:rRNA from 1 species